CAUCUAUACUAGGAAUGGUUCUUGGACAAAAAGUACAUGAAACUAGUUUCUGAAAGUUCGUAUCAUAGACAUAUCAUUCUCAGGGUGCGUUAAUUCAAGAUUUUCACCAGUCCUGUACUUCACUGGUGUUCCGGUUUUAAGACUCAGUGUGUAUAUGGCCUUAAAGUACAUAAAACAUAGAUUUCUGAAUGGCAUUCAUUCAGUAACCUGAAACUUGGAAUUAGGACAAGAAGCAGUGCAUUUCCAUCUUUAGUCCCAUCUCAUCCCACCAGUCCAUCAUGUUCCCUGCCAAACAUGUUAUUUAUUAUACGGUUUUGAAUACUUUGGGGAAAGUGACCGUAAUAUUGACUUACCUCUGGUACGCGAAUUAUCGCACCCUGUAAUUUCUUCAAGACGAACUCUUUUCUUUUGCCCAAGUUCGCCAACACGGAUCAUUUCUUCCUUAGUAUAAAUUUGGGCAUGGCAGUGCUUGGGACAUUCUUGGGACAAAACGUAUGCAGUUGUCUUAUAGAUUGUCUACGUUGUAUAAUCAAUGCACCACCACAACUUAGCCACCGAUUGCAUGUGCCGUUUAUUCAAAUAAAUACAUAGUAAUAUAGUGCAUUCAAUUAGUGGUUACAUGAUGCUUCUGACUAUGGACGUCUUAAUCGCAGAGUCUUGUGUUCCUGCUAGAUCUAUAUCAGUGUGGA
rnacentral:lncRNA from 1 species